UGGUGUGAGGCCCCGGGCUCCUCAUCCUCCCUGGCAUAACCUUCGCAGCCUGGCCUUGCGCCAAGUUCUGUGGCCUGGUCCUCGAGCUGCAUCUCCCUUCCUUCGCACGCACCCCCCAUUCAGCAGGCGCUUGGCAACCUGGGCAAGGUUCCGAGUUCUCCAUCUGGAAACAUUCCUGGGACCCGGAGGAAUCUGGCACGUGAUAAGACGCACAUGCAGCUGGCAGGACCCAUGGACCUCGUGUGCCCUCUGCACAGGGACCCGGGACCUGCCAGUCCUUUGAGAACCCAGCUUCAGGAGGCUGGGAGGGCCACAAAGACAGCACAGGAACUUAACCUGGGGGCACCCAGAUGUCUGUGCAUUCUCUGCUGCAUGCCCCGUGGGGCAGCCACCUCCACCCUGUUCUCAGGUCACCAGGCUGAGGCUCAGGAGCCACUGCAAGCAGCACACAGCAGGUCCCACGCAGGACCCAGCCGCCACAAUGGAGAAAUCGAGGCCAAGGUGACUGGGCACAGGGUGAUGGGCUGGGAGAAGGGGGGACACGGAGAUCACAGAGACAGUCCCAGGGAGGCGGGGACCUGGCCGCAGCUGCCCGGGCUGGGAAGGACACCUUUCCCUGCAGCAAGACAUGGGUGGCAUCACCUGCUCCCCAGCAGGGACCAAGGGCAGGGCAAGGUCACAGGGGCCUGGUGACCGCUGCAGUCAGGUCCCAACUGUCCACGGCCACACGCAGCACGUCCCAGGUGAGGACACCCUUCUCUGUGUACCUAGGUUCCCUCAACUACUGUGUGGGGACAAUAACAGCACCCGCAUGGUGGCAGUGACAGGGGCCAGCCCUACCCACCUGGUGGGCUGGGUGAUGUACGCAAUGUGACCGGGGCCACAAGGAAGGAAGCCACAACCCUCAUCAAGGUGCUGAGGCUAGGACCUUUGAGCCUGAAUUCCAGCCCUCAGUCUGCCCCAGCAGGAGCAGGAGGGGCAGAGGUGGUGAAGUUGCUUUGUCAUUUUGCAAAUCCCUGGCAAGGAUUAGAAUCCAAGUGUCAGCUUGGACCAUACCUGCACCCUGCAGGCCUCCAGCUCAGCAGUUCCUACUUGGCACUCCUGUGAGGAGACACCUGGACAGCCAAAUGACAGCUCCUAAACCACGUCGCCCACCGAAACCUAAACCACACGGCCCCGAAGAGCACCUGGGGCCACAAGAUGCCUGAGGAUCACCCUGACUUCCCUGCCUGCUUCCCAAAGCUGCCAGCGGUAAAUAGGAACUUUUCUGGGCCACUGAAAGGGCCCUAGGGAAGGGAAAGAUCCCCACCGCUGACUGAGGACACAGCUGGGCUGGGCCCUCAGGUGCCAGAGGUCACAUGUUGGCGCAAUCUCUCUCAGUGCGAGAUGUCAUCUUACAAAUGUGACCAGUCAUCCUGCAGCCCUUGGGUACGACCAUCACUAAGAGGACACAACAAGAAGUGACACUCUACUUGUCAUCUCAGCCCUUGGGAAGCUGAGACAGGAAGGUUGCUGCAAGAUCCAGGUCAACCUGGGCUACAGAGCAAGACCUUAUCUCAAAAAGAAAAGACAAAAAAAGAAAAGCUUUCUAAAAGCUAAGCCAUGUCUCCCUCAAGCACCAGUGACUGGCAGCUCCAUGCAGCCUCAUCUGCUGCGGGUAACUGAGCUAGGCAGGGGAGGGGGCACAGCCAGGAGGUGGCAGCAGGGAACCUGCCGUCUGUGUGACCCUGGCGUCCCCAUGCCCUCUGGGCCUCCUUUCCUGAAGAGGUGGGCAAGAAGUAAGCGUGGCCUGGUGCCCCUCAGGAGCCAGAGCCAGCAGAUGCUAAACAAAUGAGAGGCGGUGGGGUCCCUCACUGUGACGGUGCCUGGGGACUGGAGGGGCACAUUCUAGCCCAGCAGGCAGCACAGGAGGGUAUGACGGGGUGUUCAGCUAAUGUGGGCACACUGUCCCAUCCGGAGAACCCCAAACCCCAGCCCGCCCUCUGACCCUCCUCCUAGAGACCCUGUCACCUCCCAAGGUGCCCUUGCCACCUGGGGACACUCACUGAAGGCAGCUCUGGGGGGGGUGGGCAGGCCAGCCAGGCAGCCCUGUCCCCAUGAUGGCACGCAUCCCCUGUCCCUUGCCUCCCUCACACCUGUGGCCCAAUCAGAACCAGACCCAAGGUCCCCCGAGCCCUCUGUUGCCCAGAGGGAGAAGGUACCAGCGGUUGACACGCAGUGGUCUGCCAUGGGCAGCAGCCACCACAGGACACAGCGCACCAACCGUAGCUCUGUGUCUCCAAGUCCUGAGCCUGGGGCCCGUGUCUGACCUGGCAGCCCUGCCCUGAGUGCACCAAGCACCCGGUGCAGGCAGGACACUCGGGAAAUGAGAGGACAUGACGACCACAUGCUC